ensembl:miRNA
AGGACAUUUUACCCAGAUCCGUGGCCUAAUCAGAAAUGUGGCCUGUGAGUAGGCCACAGAUCUGGGUGAAAUGUCCUCC